GACGAACGCUGGCGGCGUGCUUAACACAUGCAAGUCGAGGGGGUUCGUGGGGCAACUCACGGAUCACCGGCGAACGGGUGCGUAACACGUGAGCGACCUGCCGUACCUGUGGGGGAUAGCCGGCCCAACGGCCGGGUAAUACCGCAUACGCUUGUCUUGGGGCAUCCUGGGACAAAGAAAGCUCUGGGGGCAACCCUGGGGCGCAGGACGAGGGGCUCGCGGCCUAUCAGCUAGUUGGCGGGGAACGGCCCACCAAGGCGGUGACGGGUAGCUGGUCUGAGAGGAUGGCCAGCCACAUUGGGACUGAGAGACGGCCCAGACUCCUACGGGAGGCAGCAGUGGGGAGUCUUGCGCAAUGGCCUAACGGCUGACGCAGCGACGCCGCGUGUGGGAGGACGCC
rnacentral:rRNA from 1 species